rnacentral:rRNA from 1 species
GACGGACGCUGGCGGCGUGCCUAAUACAUGCAAGUAGAACGCUGAAGGAAGGAGCUUGCUCUUUCUGGAUGAGUUGCGAACGGGUGAGUAACGCGUAGGUAACCUGCCUGGUAGCGGGGGAUAACUAUUGGAAACGAUAGCUAAUACCGCAUAAAAUUGAUUAUUGCAUGAUAGUCAAUUAAAAGGUGCAACUGCACCACUACCAGAUGGACCUGCGUUGUAUUAGCUAGUUGGUGGGGUAACGGCUCACCAAGGCGACGAUACAUAGCCGACCUGAGAGGGUGAUCGGCCACACUGGGACUGAGACACGGCCCAGACUCCUACGGGAGGCAGCAGUAGGGAAUCUUCGGCAAUGGACGGAAGUCUGACCGAGCAACGCCGCGUGAGUGAAGAAGGUUUUCGGAUCGUAAAGCUCUGUUGUAAGAGAAGAACGAGUGUGAGAGUGGAAAGUUCACACUGUGACGGUAUCUUACCAGAAAGGGACGGCUAACUACGUG